rnacentral:rRNA from 1 species
AUUGAACGCUGGCGGCAUGCUUUACACAUGCAAGUCGAACGGUAACAGGUUAAGCUGACGAGUGGCGAACGGGUGAGUAAUGCAUCGGAACGUGCCCGGUCGUGGGGGAUAACGCAGCGAAAGCCGCGCUAAUACCGCAUACGAUCUGAGGGUGAAAGAGGGGGACCGGAAGGCCUCGCGCGAUCGGAGCGGCCGAUGUCAGAUUAGGUAGUUGGUGGGGUAAAGGCUCACCAAGCCAACGAUCUGUAGCUGGUCUGAGAGGACGGCCAGCCACACUGGGACUGAGACACGGCCCAGACUCCUACGGGAGGCAGCAGUGGGGAAUUUUGGACAAUGGGCGAAAGCCUGAUCCAGCAAUGCCGCGUGCAGGAAGAAGGCCUUCGGGUUGUAAACUGCUUUUGUACGGAGCGAAAAGGUCUCCUCUAAUACAGGGGGCUCAUGACGGUACCGUAAGAAUAAGCACCGGCUAACUACGUGCCAGCCGCCGCCGUAA